rnacentral:rRNA from 1 species
ACUAAGCCAUGCAUGCCUUCGAAUAGAAGAGCACAUCUCUCUGAAUCUGCGAACGGCUCCGCAAACCAGUUGUAAACCAUAGCAAGCAUGCCUUGGGACCCGGUCGCAAGGCCGGGACCCUUGGCUACAGGGAUAACCCUGGUAAUUCUGAGGCUAAUACAUGAACGUACCCCCUGGCCGACGGGCAACCGGAGGCUGGGGACCGUGCGAGUAGGCGCAAAGUUAUUGGGAGUAGUCGCACAGUAAGACCAUCAUAACAAACGGUCCUCGUUUCGCUGGCCUCACGGCUGGCUGGCGGGUGUCCGGGUGGCUCUUGCACGGCGCUUCUGACCUAUCAACUAGAUGGCAGCGUAAGGGACAUGCUAUGGUGACAACCGGGUACAGAGGAUAAGGGUUCGAUCCUGGAGAGUGGGCCUGAGAGAUUGCUCACACUUCUAAGGAAGGCAGCAGGCGCGCAACGUUCCCCUUGGGCAAUGCUCGAGGGCGUUAGGGGACAUAUGAAUGUCUGCCUUUUGGUGGACAAUUCAAAUGGGUCUGUUCUAAACAGCCUCUCGAGUAACAAUUAGAGGACAAGUCUGGUUAACGAUAGCCAGAUGUCGGCUAAGGGACGCAAAGUACACGUGUUUCUUGGUUGGCAGAAAGUCGGAGUAGCUACCGACUGUACAGUUGUAAAUUGCGGGGAACACCAGGCAUGAUUGGACUACCAAAGCCACGGGAAACCUUGGUCCUGCUUCGGCAGGGGUAAUAACGUCCACUCAGGAGUCUUCGUCCAAGGCUGUAUUCCACACUGGUCAAUCCGCAGCCAAGCCGCUAAACCCUCCCCGUCAAAAGGGGGGGCAUGCGGAAGGUUCAGAGACUAUAAUCGACUGGGCGCAAGCUUAAGGAAUAGUCCACUCCCACUGGUAACAGUGCUAGCAAAAGUAUGGGGAGUAGCUCCCCCAGAGGCAUGCUAGGUCCUUCGAAGUGUGGGGUUAAAUGCCCACGCGAUGCCAGGGACGGUUCUAUAGGGCCAGCACCCGCGGUAAUUCCAGCUCUAAUAGCAUACGUUAAAGUUGUUGCGGUUAAAACGCUCGUAGUCGGCGCCAGAUCUUCAGAGUUCUGCGUUGGGACCUGGGNNNGNUGCUCCGGUCAAGGGCACGCCAGGAACUGACAAGGGAGGACGUCGAUCAAACGUACUCGUGGCUGCUCCCCUUCGGGGGAUCGCAGGGUCUGGGGGGGGGUUCGCCCUCCCUCGGGUCCGGUCCGGGUACCGUUUACCAUGACUAAACCGGGGUGAUCAAAGCAGGUCUUUCGACACGUACGGCGCAGCAUGGCAUAAGCCCACUGGCCUUGCCCUAUUUGCGGGGGCUUGGCUGGUAAAGGCGAAAGGGAUGUUCGAGGGUGACCGAAUUGCCGGGCGAGUGGUGAAAUACGUUGACCCUGGCAAGUCGACCAAAGGCGAAAGCAGUCAUCAAGGGCAUACCCGUUGAUCAAGAGCGAAAGUUAAGGGUUCGAAGACGAUCAGAUACCGUCGUAGUCUUAACUAUAAAUGAUGCAAACCAGGGAUAGGACACUGUCCAUCUCGACUCCUCCUGGACCUUAUAGAAAUCAUCAGUCUUUGGGUUCUGGGGGGAGUAUGGUCGCAAGGCUGAAACUUAAAGGAAUUGACGGAAGGGCACACAAAGAGUGGAACCUGCGGCUUAAUUUGACUCAACACGGGAAAACUCACCAGGUCCGGAUACACGUAUGAAAGUCAAGCUGAAAGACUUUACUCAAUGAUGUAAGUGGUGGUGCAUGGUCGUUCUUAGUUCGUGGAUUGAUUUGUCUGGUCUAUUCCGAUAACGAGCGAGACCCCCAUCGUUCCUAAUAGGGGCGGUUAGCCCGCCGGUCGCAAGGCCGUGCAGCUUCCGCUUAAGAUUAACUUCUUAGACGGUAUCAGAGCCGAUAAGGUUCUUGAAAUGGGUUAAUAACAGGUCAGUCAUGCCCUUAGAUGUUCUGGGCCGCACGCGCGUUACAAUGGCACGUAAAGCGAGUGCUUGAAAAGGCGUCUCCGGGGCCGAAAGGCCCUGGUAACCCUUAGUCCCUGCCUUGACUGGGACAGAUCUUUGCAAUUAUUGGUCUCCAACGAGGAAUUUUUAGUAGUCGCAGGUCAUUAACCUGCGACGAAUGCGUCCCUGCCCUUUGUACACACCGCCCGUCGCUGCUACCGAUUGGGUUUUACAGUUACGUGUUUGGAGGCGCUGGCCCCCCGCUUGCUUCACGGUAGGCGGGAGCCGGUACCAAAAUCCAAAUUACUGUACGGCCUAGAGGAAGCA